rnacentral:lncRNA from 1 species
UCAGCCAAAAAAACUCAUUAUGCAUUGCUACUCACAAAUGACCACUUCAAAGAACAUGCAAGUAUCUAUGUCAUUAACAAUUGCAAACAUAAGUUUAUUUUUACUACAGUUGUUGUGCGUACUAUCACAUAGCUCCUCAUUCCGUUCACACUCAAUAAUAAGAAAAAUGAAAAGAAAAGAUAGAGAUAAUCUGCCAAAAUUGCACUUCGGUGUCAUGGAUUCAGUGUGCCGCUUCAACAUCUCAUUAUCCUGCAGCACUCUGUCGCCAUCUUCUACCUGUGAAUAAAAACAGACCUUACUUGUCAGAGAAGCAAAUGUGAAACCUUAUUACAACAUGUAUGCUAAGUCGCUAACCCAUAGAGACAGCUAGAACAAAUGUGAAAACUUUCCAUGUUGCCGAGUAAGUAUAUGAGCACCCCGCAAAACAUCAAUUAGCAAGUACUUGACACAUACAAACUUGUACAGAAAAAAUAACACUUCCUAAUUUAAUAGGCUUCAAAGAUUGCAAGGAAGGCAUACUGAUGAGCUGCAAUGCAAUCUUCAAUGUUCAGUACUUGUACACGCUAUGCUCCUGUGGUGCAACCCCUAGCUCAUAUGGCUUCAAAAAGUCUACAUUGUAUAGGACAUUUUUUAGCAAAGGGUGAAACUGCAUACCUGUACAUCUCAAAUCAUAUGUAGUAUGUGUCUAGUCAUCCUGCGAUUGCCCGAUCUCAGAACUUUAUUUCUUAUAAAAACUUUAGACAUGUUCAGGAAACACAUGUAGUUAACAAAAAGUGUACAUAUCACCCAUUUUAUAGGUUCAAAGAUAGAUAACAAAAGGACCAUGUUCAAGUCCCCAAUGGACCACAAUCCCUGACAGGAAUAUCGUUGUUCUUUCUUCAAAUUACCAUACACGGGGAAACAAUGACAAGACUGGAUUGUUUUAAACUCUCAUCGGACAGAGGAAUAAAAAAUGUGAGAGAGAGAGAGGACCUUCUAUCGUGUGGUCAGUACCAGGGUCGGAGCAGCCACUCGCCUCGUCGUCGUCCUCUCACAGCAGCAGAUUUCUGCUUGACAAGCAGAUAGGAGCACAAAACGCAUGCAUCAGGUGGCGUCAAGCACAUGGUUGCAUGUAUAACAAAAGGAAAUUGAUGUUAUAACAUGUUAAGUUACAAAAGAUGCAAAUAGUUCAGUUCCAAAAAUAAUUACUUGUUGUGGUGCAGCAAGCAGCCGGAGGAAGGAGACGAACAGAGGUUAAGGGGGAGAAGAGAAAUGCUUACCUUUCCCCACUUUGGAGGAGAACCAUUGUAAAUUUGAAUAAAGUGUAAAGAUUGAGAAAAGUUACUAAACAACAGAAGCAGAGGCCAAAAUUCAAAAGGUUAUGAAGAAGCUACUCCAACAGUUAGGAAUUUUUCCUGCAUGGAGUAUUACAGUAACACAAGGAUUUUGCCUGCAUAAGAACAGGGCCUUCAGGAUGUUCCUCUGAAUUUUGUUGUCCCAUGUUUCUUUAAGGAACGGCCAUAUAUUUUUAAUCUUUCAGAAUAGAUCAGUACUGAUACUAUGUUCCAAAUUGUACUCCCAAACUGGUAAAUAAAUUACAGUAACAAUAAGUUCAGUUUUCAUGUACUAAUUCUGCCAUAAAUUCAGUUUUCAAGAUUCUACACUAAAUAUGCAGUGUUAUACUAGUUACAUUUUGAUUUUUGCGGGCAAUUUGAUGCAUGGCUCACUCACCUAUUUGGAACACAGGGAACAACUUCUAUCUAUACGUGGACAUUCAAUAGAACAACUGAGAGAGGGAGCUGAAAUCAGUGCAAGAGCAGCAGAGGUGAGUGCUGAUUAGAAGGUUAUCCACCUUUGUGAAAUUCUGAAGAUGCCAAACUACAGUCACCUCAAAUCUGCUUGCACUUACUUUGGCAAGACCAAACUAAGACCGAUCGAGGAUCCAUCUAUAGAAAAAGACAACAUCCAUCUAAGCAGUUUGAAUUCAAUCAAGGAUCAUAGAUUAUUAUCAGUCAAUUAUUUCUGAUUAGUAAGCAUUGAGUCUUAAUAGGGAUUUCGUAUGCCAGAUCCGUUCUAUAAUGAGAUCCUACAACAUUUAUACAUAGACAGAGAAAAAGAAGAAGAAAAUGCUACUAAUACUUGGACUUGGCAGACUAGUGAAUACUGAACCCCUACCAAGAAAUCUUGUUAGGUUCAUCAGGAGAAUUCCUGGAAGUAGAAUGUUGCACAACCAUAGCAAUCAGUUCAAUGAUCAAAGCUUUUGCUACACCAACCAUAGCCGAUAAGUGCUUCGAAGCCAUAACAAAAAGAGUAAAUUUAACACAGCCUAGUGGGCUGCAGAAAUACUGUAAAUGCCACUAUCAGUCAGUGCACCUUGACCUUGUCAAUAAUAGGACUACUAGAAGUAAUUAAUCUGGAGAAGAAUCGCCUUGUUAAUUUGGAGUAUUUAGCACCACCGCAUAAUGCCACAACUGUAGUUCACAUCCUUUAAAGGAUUACUACCCCUUCAAGUGUGAUUAAUCAGACUUGACAGUACAAAUUAAAUCAGACUUCAGGGGUUCCCCUAACUUAUAGUACUCAAUGCAUCAAAAUUUUAGAGACAAAUACAGCAAUACACUAGUCAGACCAAAAAGAUCAAAAAUUCAGACUUGGGCACAAGGAGGAGGACCUGCAGACUUGCAGAGCACUUGGGCCCGAGGCCGAUGAGUACUUGGGCAUGGCGAUUUGAAGCUAGGGUUCGGGGCCGGCACAAGAGCAUGAUGAGGAGGAGGAUCCGCGCAUGGACGCCUGCUAGGCCGUGAACGCAGGACACGGAUCUCGCGCGUGAACGCGGGAAGCAGCGGGUGGGUCGCGGCGGCCUGAGCUAGGGCUUCAGGAGCUGAGAGAGGCAGCGG